UGCAUCGUAUUUUUAAUAAUCAAAGAUAGCUGAUAAAUUUAGCAGUUAUUGACAUGCUCUGUUGAUGAGUGUUUCUGUUAUGGGUUUUCUUACAUAUGCAUGAAAUAUGAUGGGACAGUGUAGCUUGGAUUUUUUAUUGGAAAUUAUUUGUGCAGGUAAGCAUUUGACUGGAAAUUUCAUAUUCUUUAUAGGAAAGUUUUAGAGUAUAAGAAGAAGCUUCAAUGGCCAAAAAACAUGCACCAAGAUCCAAUAAAUCAUCUGUCUACCUGUAUGUUCCUAAUAUCAUUGUACAUUCCACAAAAGAUGGGAUCAAAAGGCGUCGACCACGUUGCAAUCAUAGUUACAAUUGGAAUUUCAUGGCUAUUUGCUGAAAUUUUUACCGCGGCUGGUGCAUAUAAUAAAAAUAGGAAUUGGACAUAUCUGAUGUCUCUGUUCUACACAAUGUUGACGAGCCUACAGUUCAAAGUUUGAAUGGUUGUAGGAUUGCAGAUCAAAUUCUAAAGCUUGUUCCAAAUGUUGAGUACUUUCGAACAACACUCCGCUGCUUGAAGUAUUGGGCCAAAAGACGAGGUCUUUAUUCCAAU